CAGGAGCCAGGGCACCCCAUUUGAAUCCUGGUGCAGGGCCUCCAGAAGGGGCUGAGUCACUGCUUUGGGGGCCUUAUCUGCCCAGGGCUAUGGAGACCAAACAGAGCAAGGCACCAAAGGUCCCAUCUGAGCACCUCCCCGUCACUGCCAGAGAUGGGUCCUGUGCCCGCUGGGCCUGGUUCCUCAUCAGAACGACAGAUGGCAGAGACUGCACCCAAAGAACGGCUCUAAGAAACCAACGAGGCCGGGAGAAAGUGCUGUGAGAACUGAACGAACACGAACUGUUGCCACUGUCACGAUUUGCGUCUAAGCACUUUUUCGUCAGUGGAAUCGUCUGCAGGAAAUAAAUUGCUGACACCG
rnacentral:lncRNA from 1 species